rnacentral:misc_RNA from 1 species
GAAAUGCGAUAAGUAAUGUGAAUUGCAGAAUUCAGUGAAUCAUCGAAUCUUUGAACGCACAUUGCGCCCGCCAGUAUUCUGGCGGGCAUGCCUGUUCGAGCGUCAUUUCAACCAUCAAGCCCCCGGCUUGUGUUGGGGACCUGCGGCUGCCCGCAGGCCCUGAAAACCAGUGGCGGGCUCGCUGUCACACCGAGCGUAGCAGCAUACAUCUCGCUCAGGGCGUGCUGCGGGUUCCGGCCGUUAAAAGCCUUUUUUACCCAAGGUUGACCUCGGAUCAGGUAGGAAGACCCGCUGAACUUAAGC